UACGAAGGGGGCUAGCGUUGCUCGGAAUCACUGGGCGUAAAGCGCACGUAGGCGGGUCCUUAAGUCAGGGGUGAAAUCCUGGAGCUCAACUCCAGAACUGCCUUUGAUACUGAGGAUCUUGAGUUCGGGAGAGGUGAGUGGAACUGCGAGUGUAGAGGUGAAAUUCGUAGAUAUUCGCAAGAACACCAGUGGCGAAGGCGGCUCACUGGCCCGAUACUGACGCUGAGGCACGAAAGCGUGGGGAGCAAACAGG
rnacentral:rRNA from 1 species